rnacentral:piRNA from 1 species
UGUUCAGAUGGAGCGGCACACUAGUC